rnacentral:rRNA from 1 species
CAGCCGCCGCGGUAAUACGAAGGGGGCUAGCGUUGUUCGGAAUUACUGGGCGUAAAGGGCGCGUAGGCGGUGAGUUAAGUCUGCUGUGAAAUCCCCGGGCUCAACCUGGGAAUGGCAGUGGAUACUGGCUCGCUAGAGUGUGUCAGAGGAUGGUGGAAUUCCCGGUGUAGCGGUGAAAUGCGUAGAGAUCGGGAGGAACAUCAGUGGCGAAGGCGGCCAUCUGGGACAACACUGACGCUGAGGCACGAAAGCGUGGGGAGCAAACAGGAUUAGAUACCCCAGUAGUCCCUGUCUCUUAUAC